UUCCCCUCUCGUGCUCGUUGAUAUUUUAACGGUUUUAACGGUUUUCACAAAAGAAUUUCUUCAGUCAGUUUUCAAUUAAAUAUACAUUACAACAGUUUAGUUAGCUCGGAGAAAUGCUCUACUGGAAUAAUAAAAAAAGUACAUGAAUUACACAGAAAACAGUAAGAUAUAUAAGCUGUAACACCAGUGAUUCACCUCCAUACGGGCAUCAUCCACUGCUGUGAUCUUCUGUGGUUUACCAUAAUCUACCAUUAGCAUGUUCUUGUGAUUUAACAAGCAGCAGACACUUCUAAUGUUUCGGACACUUGUUUCGAGUCUCACCUGAUCCAUCAGGGAUGGACCUGACGAAGGUGGGCAGCAUCUUGACAGUGGCUGUUGCGUUGGUGUCACGGCUCAGCCCUUUCACCAGCUCCAUACGGAAACGGGACAUGAUGUCUCGCAGUGUCUCAUCAGAGAGGCGCAUGGAGUACAGCAAUGGGGGUUUCUCAGUCUUGGUUGCUAUGGGAGAUUCAGGCUGGGCUCUGCCUCUGUUUGAGAUCAUGGUGGAAGAAUUUGAUUUGCUGGAAUAAAAGGACAGGCUGAAUUGCUGGCUGAAUGGUUUGUAGAUCUGAUCUGGUCAAGAAGUUGAUUGGAGCAAUUACAUCUCACAGAGGCAAGUGGAAUUAUCUGGAUUUUACAGGAACUCACAUGGGGGAAAAGUAAAGAAGACGUGCGAGAUAACCAUUAAAUAUCAGGGUCAGGAAGUGGCCUGCAUAAAGUGAAUUCAGAAGCAUUGUUUUAAAGACAAGAACCUUAUUGUAGAAUGUUUGAUUAGUCUAAUACAGUAAGAAGGACAUGUUUGUCCUUUCAUAUUUAAUCCUAACUACUGGUGUUUACAUUUGAAUUCAUCUGUAGGGAUUUUCAACAAAUCCAUGCAAUGCUCAAACCUUAAUUGUAAUUUAUCAUUUGUUAAAUUAAAGAUUUGUACAACAGUUAGUAGUAGUAGCCAUUGAUCCUGUACAAUAUUUAUCACUAUCAUUAAUUAUUGAAUUAUUAUCACUUUAAUAAUUGAAACAAAACAAUUUUUGUAUUUAACAAAGGACCGCAAGCGUAGCUUCAGUUAUGUUACACUGGAUUAUUAUGAGAUAAAGAAAUAAUCUGCACAUGUUGAAUUGAAUAGGCAGAAGCUAUGUGCUGUUUGCUACCAAGACAGACCCACUUACUGACUGGUAAACAUUUCCUGCUGUGGUCCUAACACAAUUAAUCAAAUAAAAUGAUCCAUAAAGCAAUUUUUAAAACACUGUCUAAUAAACAACAUAGACACACAGAGCAUAUACCUACAUGUGGUAAAACCUCUAUUUUCUCAUCGCUAUCCAUGGUUGCAGACUGGUAGUCCAACAAGUAGAUUAGAUAAUCGCAAAGUCAGGGUGAACCAAUUUAGCCCUUGAGAUAGGAUUCAGAGGGAUUUAAGCAACGGCACUUGCAUAAUCAAACCAUGACAAUAGCAGUAUUCUGAGUGAAACUGUUUAACAUCUGCAGAGCCAUGCAUGCCAUAAUGACAUUUCAGAAUGACAGCUGGUAUUGUUGAUCAAUAAAAAAAAUAAAAAAAAUAGGCACAGUGCAAAAGUUUGUCAUUGGCAGCAGAUUAAAACAAGGAAAAAGCGUAUGGACAAAAAUAAUAGAAUAAGGCAGAUAGUCUACUUGUUAGAGAGAUGUUAGCAGAUGUGAAUAUCUGAACAGUGUCAUGAGAAGAGACUACAUGUUGCGUUUUUGAAGGACUUUCCUUCCAGAGCAUGGAUAGUACAGUAACCGUGAGCACUGAAGAACAGAUAAGCCGAUAAGGAGUGUUAAAAUGAACAGCUAAUUAGACUAUUACAACCACACUGAACUGUUUUACUGACAUGGAAACUUUCAACCUUUUAACUAAUACAGUAAAUUACAAGACUUAAUGAUGCAUCAGCUAGCUAAAGACAGUUCAUGAAAACAUUGCAUUACCUGUGUGUAUGCAUGUGUCAGUUAUCAGGAGC